rnacentral:rRNA from 1 species
AUGGAGAGAUAUAGGGAGCAAAAUAAUGACUUGCAUAUGGUGUUCAUUGACUUGGAGAAGGCCUAUGAUAAGAUCCCGCGGAAUGUCAUGUGGUGGGCCUUGGAGAAACACAAAGUCCCAGCAAAGUACAUUACCCUCAUCAAGGACAUGUACGAUAAUGUUGUGAUAAGUGUUCGAACAAGUGAUGUCGACACUGAUGACUUCCCGAUUAAGAUAGGACAGCAUCAGUGGUCAGCUUUGAGCCCUUAUCUUUUUGCAUUGGUGAUGGAUGAGGUCACAAGGGAUAUACAAGGAGAUAUCCCAUGGUGUAUGCUCUUUGCGGAUGAUGUGGUGCUAGUUGACGAUAGUCGGGCGGGGGUAAAUAGGAAGUUAGAGUUAUGGAGACAAACCUUGGAAUCGAAAGGGUUUAGGCUUAGUAGGACUAAAACCGAGUACAUGGUGUGCGAUUUCAGUACUACUAGGUGUGAGGAGGAGGAGGUUAGCCUUGAUGGCUAG